UACGUAGGGGGCAAGCGUUGUCCGGAAUUAUUGGGCGUAAAGAGCUCGUAGGCGGUCUGUCGCGUCGAUCGUGAAAACUUGGGGCUUAACCCUGAGCUUGCGGUCGAUACGGGCAUGACUGGAGUUCGGCAGGGGAGACUGGAAUUCCUGGUGUAGCGGUGAAAUGCGCAGAUAUCAGGAGGAACACCGGUGGCGAAGGCGGUUCUCUGGGCCUGACCUGACGCUGAGGAGCGAAAGCGUGGGGAGCGAACAGG
rnacentral:rRNA from 1 species